rnacentral:rRNA from 1 species
AUAACGGUCCUAAGGUAGCGAAAUUCCUUGUCGGGUAAGUUCCGACCUGCACGAAAGGCGCAACGACUUGGGCGCUGUCUCGACCAUGGACCCGGUGAAAUUGCACUGGUCGUGAAGAUGCGACUUACCCGCGGAAGGACGGAAAGACCCCGUGAACCUUCACUGCAGCUUGGCAUUGGCCGCUGGUCCCGCGUGUAGAGGAUAGGCAGGAGGCAUCGAUCCGGAGGCGCCAGCCCCCGGGGAGCCGCCCUUGGAAUACUGCCCUCGCGCGACCGGCGUCCUAACCCGAGGCCGUCAACCGGCUCGGGGACCGUGCCAGGCGGGCAGUUUGACUGGGGCGGUCGCCUCCUAAAGGGUAACGGAGGCGCGCGAAGGUCCGCUCGGGACGGUCGGCAACCGUCCUUUUGAAUGCAAGAGUACAAGCGGGCUUGACUGCGAGGCCCACAAGCCGAGCAGGUGCGAAAGCAGGCUCUAGUGAUCCGGCGGCCCCGAGUGGGUGGGCCGUCGCUCAACGGAUAAAAGGUACUCCGGGGAUAACAGGCUGAUCUUGCCCAAGAGUCCACAUCGACGGCAAGGUUUGGCACCUCGAUGUCGGCUCAUCGCAUCCUGGGGCUGUAGCAGGUCCCAAGGGUUGGGCUGUUCGCCCAUUAAAGCGGUACGCGAGCUGGGUUCAGAACGUCGUGAGACAGUUCGGUCCCUAUCCUCCGUGGGCGCAGGAGAAUCGAUGGAGGCUGCCCCCAGUACGAGAGGACCGGGGUGGACGCACCUCCGGUGAACCGGUUGUCGACCAACGGCACGGCCGGGUAGCCGCGUGCGGCGCGGAUAACCGCUGAAGGCAUCUAAGCGGGAAGCCGUUCCAGGGAUUAGUUCUCCUUCCGGUAAGGGCCCAGGUAGACUACCUGGUCGAUAGACGGCAGGUGCAAGGCUGGCGACAGCCUCAGCCGAGCCGCACUAAUCGCCCGAGCUCUUCCGGAA